GGGGAAAGAAGAAAGGAGGGACACCAGGGAAGGAAAAUUAGAGAAUGAGAAGAGGAAGAGGAGGAGAAAUGUGUUUUGAUAAAGGCUGCAGAGGAGGAAAAGUGGGUAGAAGACAAGGAGGAGGAGGGAGGAGAGUACAGAAACAGGAGCCAGAACCAAUUUCAGAUUUUAAACCAUCAGCAUUCAGGCUGCUCUUCACUCCUCAUUUAUUAUAUCGGUUCCUGUCAUUUGUCCCUGGGAGUGGAGUUGGCCAGCUCAUCACCUGUUGUCAAUCUCCGGGGCUCCACCUAGAGGGUUUUUAAGCCAGCACGGCCUGCCACUCCUCGCCAGUUUGUCCUGCUACCAUCUGUGAUUCUCCACCCAUCGCACUCACCAGUAGUGCUGUUUUUGGUCUCCAUCCUGUCCUCCCAUCUGCUCGGAGCCCGAGGAUUAUAUACUCCACUUCUCCUCAGCCUGCCCUUCAGUCUGUAUUCUCCAUCUCUUCGAAAUCUGGACCGGACUCUCCACUCUUGACCCUCUUUGGAAUAUACCCCUGGCAGCCUUUUCCCCGUUAAAUGACUAGGGUCGCCAAGUAAGCCCAAGACUAUUCACUGGCACUCCGUACCUUUGUCCCUUACUCGUUUGUUUCCCAUUCAGUAACAUUUCUCCCCUGUGUUUACAG
ensembl:lncRNA